UGGGGAAUUUUGGACAAUGGGCGCAAGCCUGAUCCAGCCAUUCCGCGUGCAGGAUGAAGGCCUUCGGGUUGUAAACUGCUUUUGUACGGAACGAAAAGACUCCUUCUAAUAAAGGGGGUCCAUGACGGUACCGUAAGAAUAAGCACCGGCUAACUACGUGCCAGCAGCCCCGGUCAUACGUAGGGUGCGAGCGUUAAUCGGAAUUACUGGGCGUAAAGCGUGCGCAGUCGGUUAUAUAAGACAGAGGUGAAAUCCCCGGGCUAAACCUGGGACCUGCGUUGGUGACUGUAUAGCUAGAGUAGGGUAGAGGGGGAUGGAGUUCCGCGGGUAGCAGUGAAAUGCGUAGAUAUGCGGAGGAACACCGAUGGCGAGGGCAAUCCCCUGGACCUGUACUGACGCUCAUGCGCGAAAGCGUGGGAAGCAAACA
rnacentral:rRNA from 1 species